ACACAGGUACUACGUAGGAUAAAUAAAUGUAUUAGGUAAAAAAAACUAGGAUCGUCUUCUCUCUCAUCCUCGGAUCGGCCAUGGCUUCUUCCAUCUAAGUUCAGCUGAUCGAGUGAAAGGAUGGGGGAACCUGAUGAUCAUGAGCUGGACAUCUUUCAGCUGAUCCGAACUCAUCAGGAGAAAGCUGUUCAAUUACCUCCAGUUCAACUAGUUCGAACUUUGCUAGCAAACACUUCUUUUGGACUGCUUUCUA